UAAAAAAUAGUUACUCACACUCGUGACUUUAGUCAUGAGUUAGUAGCUAAAAUAGUCAGCAUAUAGGGAAACUUAUAUGUAGAGAUAGGAUAGAACUAUCCAAUACUACUUGAAUUGCUAAAAACCCCUAAAGCUAACCAAACUAAAACAUAAGGAUGAAAUAAACCUAAGUGUGAAAGUUACGAAAGUAGAAAAAAUUGGUUAGAUGGUAUAAGGUUAAACCCUAAGUACUUUAAAAUGGGCAAUCAGCAGGUAAGCUCCGAAUAGGAGAAACUUCAACGACUAUUCCUCUUGAGGGAAGUACACUACAAGCUAUUGGUAGUGGAAGUGGGUAGACCUUAACGGAUAAUGCCGAAGGAUAAGAUAUAGUCUGUGCUUACAUGAAAGUGUAAGAAGUUCAUAAGAGAACUGCAUAGGUAGUAGCGAACUUAUGUGAACGACAACCUCAAAAAUGAUAAAAGUUAAGACU
rnacentral:misc_RNA from 2 species